UGAAUGAGGAGAUCUCAUUACCCAGGAUCAGAAUGUGUCUGUCUUGGUGAAUACAAUGACAAAUGGAUUCUUCAAAUCCCUAAUCCACAAGCAUUUCAGAGAGAGAGAUGGUUCAGCAGCACAAGAAAGAUGUACUUUUCCUGGAAGUCUCCUGACUCAACUCCUAUCCUGUACCUGGCAGUGAUUCAGUAGCAUGGCAGUUAUAAUUGAUCAAAAACAUACCUCUGUUAGCAAACAGGAGGAAGCGGGGCAGCAGCACCAGGAUGGUGUUGGACUCUGAGUGCCAAGGUGGAGGGUGGAAAUGAAAAACCUGAAGUCUGGCUCUGUGAUGGCCUUCUGCAUACCUGUGGGCAAGUCACUCUCACUGUCAUGCUGCUCCGGAAGUCUCCCCACGUCUACUCCAAGAGGUAAUUGCUAAGACACAGUAGCACCUUGAGCUUCUACAGUCAUUCCUCCUUCCCAGCUUCAAACCAAAUCCACUUCAUUUAUGAUAAUAAAUGGAAUAUGUUUUUAAACCUAGACUACAGUUUAUGCCCUAAGUAUGUGCAUCUCUCUCUUCAUCCCUCCCAAUGACUUCUACCCUGAUACCUAAGUCCAGAUUUCCAGUUAAUCUGAAUUUCUAUCUUGCCCCUUUGAACUCACAACC